GACGAACGCUGGCGGCGUGCUUAACACAUGCAAGUCGAACGGAAAGGCCCUGCUUUUGUUGGGUGCUCGAGUGGCGAACGGGUGAGUAACACUUGAGUAACCUGCCCUUUACUUUGGUAUAACUUCAGGAAACUUGUGCUAAUACCGGAUAUGAUCUCCUGCUUCAUGGUUGGGGUUUGAAAGUUUCGGCGGUUGGGGAUGGACUCGCGGCUUAUCAGCUUGUUGGUGGGGUAGUGGCUUACCAAGGCUUUGACGGGUAGCAGGCAUGAGAGGGUGACCGGCAAAAUUGGGACUGAGAGACGGCACAGAAUGCAACGGGAGGCAGCAGUGGGGAAUAUUGCACAAUGGGAGGAAGAAUGAUGCAGAAAAGCAGCGUGCGGGAUGACGGCCUUGGGGUUGUAAACAGAAUUAGAAUGUGAAGAAGAGUGAGUGACGGUAAUGGGUAAAGAAGCACCGGCUAACUACGUG
rnacentral:rRNA from 1 species